AAAAAAUAAUAAUUCAUUACAUUCAAAAAAUGCCUAGGCCCAUUACAACAUAGAUCAACUCAAGUACACAUGAGCAAAUUCAACAACACUAUAACCUAGCCAUCAAGACUUGAACAUACUAAAAAGGGUCCUAACAAGCUGCCCAAGCCAGAACCCAAUACAAGAUAGCCCUAAGGCCCAAAUAGAAACAAACCCUAGUCUCCUAGCUUUGCUUGAGAGAGGAUCCAACAAGGUAGAGAAAGGAUCUAGGUAACUAAAGUUGCCACCCAUUAACCAACCACCCUUCUCUGAACUUCCUUGGCACUAAUACAUGCUGUCGAUUGCUUGCUCUAGGGAAGUUCAGAGAA
rnacentral:misc_RNA from 1 species